GGGGCGAAAGACUAAUCGA
rnacentral:snRNA from 1 species